UGGGGAAUCUUGCGCAAUGGCCGAAAGGCUGACGCAGCGACGCCGCGUGUGGGAUGAAGCACUUCGGGGUGUAAACCACUGUUGCCCGGGACGAACAUCUUCUUUCGAGGAGACUGACGGUACCGGGUGAGGAAGCACCGGCUAACUCCGUGCCAGCAGCCGCGGUAAUACGGAGGGUGCGAGCGUUGUCCGGAAUCACUGGGCGUAAAGGGCGCGUAGGUGGCCUGUGGAAGUCUGCGGUGAAAGCCCGGCGCUCAACGCCGGGUCGGCCGUGGAUACUCUCGGGCUUGAGCUUACUAGAGGCAGAUGGAAUUCCGGGUGUAGCGGUGGAAUGCGUAGAGAUCCGGAAGAACACCGGUGGCGAAGGCGGUCUGCUGGGGUAAUGCUGACACUGAUGCGCGACAGCGUGGGGAGCAAACAGGAUUAGAUACCCCCGUAGUCC
rnacentral:rRNA from 1 species